GUGACAGAUCUGUGGUGCUCAGAAUAGCACAGGUCCAGGUCCUGUGCUCUUCGUCAGAAACGCUAGGAUCCCCCUGAUGGUCGAAGAUGAAAGUGCUCCACGAAACCCUGUGAGAGCCUGUCCCUCCCAGGCCCUGCACCCUCCAGGUGAACAAGGGGACUGGGUCACCUCUCCCAUUGGCUCCCUGUGGUAGGGACAGAUUGCUUCCUUCCUUUCUGUGAGGUGCCAGGCAGGCCCUAAGCUGGCUGAUGUCAGCAAGGCUGCCGCCCACGACGGGAGGAAGUGGGUAGGUGCCCAGGACAGCGCCAGCAGACAUGCCCUGCGGCAGCCCAGUCAAGGAUGACGUGGGUAUCACGCACCGCUGUGAUGAGCUUGGCCGAACGCGGAGUGUGAGACGGCUCUCAGAAGCUACAGUGACUGUCACUAAGCUGGUUGGUGCUCUGAGUCCCCAGUCUGAGAUACUUCACAAUUCUCAUUGUCCCGAGCCUGGUGAUGAACACCGCCGAGCAGACCCCUCAUGGAGCCUCUAUCCAUCACCACAUGCAAAGACCCAAGACAGGAGACGAGGGAAAAAAUGUUCUCCACAGGAAGCCCACCCAAAGAGGCCACACAGGACUUGGAAAGGCGCCCCUGAGCACCCAUUCUCACAGGAAUCCCUGACAUGGGGCUUCUGAAGUGAGGAGUAAGUUUGAAACUCACCCGGUAAGAGGUUCCAGAGGGAGCCGUUUCUGAACCCAGAAUCACUAUGGCCUGUUGGUGCCAGCCCUACCAGCUCUAUCCUGUGACUUCUGACCACCCUCAGUCUCCUCAACUGUCCUAGCAUCUCGUAAGGGGUAAACAGGGGUAAACAGGGCUUUGCUAAUCAGGCCUGGUGCAUAGUAGGCAUGUGCUUCCUUGACAGUAUGGGGAGCCCCGGGGCCGUUUCAGGAGGGGAGUCAGACAAGCCUGGGCCUGGAGCCCAGGAAGAUGCUGGUGCUGAGGGCGCCCAAGGCCCUGCAGUAUGUGAGGUCAGGAAGCCGCCUGGUUCAGGCCAGAGGGUGGUAAAUUCAGAGCAGAGUUCAGUGGGAGCAGAAGGCACUUUCUUCAUGUACCUACUGGGGUGGGAGUCCUGGGACCUGGCUGAGUGCUCUGCUCCCCCCAGGCUAUUGACUUGUAGGCAGGGACUUAGCAGGGAGUCUCUGAGGGUGUAUGAGGGGGUGGGGGACUCUCCCAGCUCUGUCCUUUCUGAACUAUGUACACUGUGAGUCCCAGCCUCAGUUUCUCCACCCAUGAAUCAGUGCCAUAAUAAGACCAGCUUGGACUGGAGAGUGUCUAUAGCACAGUUAAUAAAAAUCCGGAGACAGAGCCUGGGGUUCAACCUGAAG